CCUACGGGGGGCAGCAGUGAGGAAUAUUGGUCAAUGGACGAGAGUCUGAACCAGCCAAGUAGCGUGAAGGAUGACUGCCCUAUGGGUUGUAAACUUCUUUUAUAUGGGAAUAAAAUGUUCCACGUGUGGGAUUUUGUAUGUACCAUAUGAAUAAGGAUCGGCUAACUCCGUGCCAGCAGCCGCGGUAAUACGGAGGAUCCGAGCAUUAUCCGGAUUUAUUGGGUUUAAAGGGAGCGUAGGUGGAUUGUUAAGUCAGUUGUGAAAGUUUGCGGCUCAACCGUAAAAUUGCAGUUGAAACUGGCAGUCUUGAGGACAGUAGAGGUGGGCGGAAUUCGUGGUGUAGCGGUGAAAUGCUUAGAUAUCACGAAGAACUCCGAUUGCGAAGGCAGUUCACUGGACUGCAACUGACACUGAGGCUCGAAAGUGUGGGUAUCAAACAGGAUUAGAUACCCCAGUAGUC
rnacentral:rRNA from 1 species